UACGGAAGGCAGCAGUGGGGAAUAUUGCACAAUGGGCGCAAGCCUGAUGCAGCGACGCCGCGUGGGGGAUGACGGCCUUCGGGUUGUAAACUCCUUUUCGCUAGGGACGAAGCGCAAGUGACGGUACCUGGAGAAGAAGCACCGGCUAACUACGUGCCAGCAGCCGCGGUAAUACGUAGGGUGCGAGCGUUGUCCGGAAUUACUGGGCGUAAAGAGCUCGUAGGUGGUCUGUCGCGUCGUUUUGUGUAAGCCCGCAGCUUAACUGCGGGACUGCAGGCGAUACGGGCAUAACUUGAGUGCUGUAGGGGAGACUGGAAUUCCUGGUGUAGCGGUGGAAUGCGCAGAUAUCAGGAGGAACACCGAUGGCGAAGGCAGGUCUCUGGGCAGUACUGACGCUGAGGAGCGAAAGCAUGGGUAGCGAACAGGGAUUAGAUACC
rnacentral:rRNA from 1 species